AUCAUAUAAAUGGGAAACGCAAUGCGAAAUCGAAAAAAAGAAGGAAAUUAAGAAAAAUUAAUUCUCGUCUGCGUGCGACAGGAGUUCCAGGUUUUGUGCUGGGCGCGUCUGAAUGGUUGGCUGAUUCCGGGGUGCAGGUUGACACGGGACUCGACAUCAAGGAGCUGACUCAAUUCAACGCAGUUUAUGGAGAUUUGCAUAAAAAGGGUGCGGUCCCGCGAUGCUGAUUGAGCGCACUCAAUCCCGCAAUAAAAAGGAAGCUUGACAGUGAAUCACCCAAGUGUCGUCCAAGUUGAAGCAACAUCACCAUCUGCAAGAACCAAGGAGAGAAUGUCGAGCGAUCAAAUGGGUUUUUCAAAAAUGAUCGUCUCUUUUGCUAUCGUGACUCUGCUGAGCUUCUGCAGCCCGGCGUCCAGUUUCGCCUACCUUCCUCGCGUCUCCCGUACAAAUGACGCCAUCAUCAUCGAUGUCGACGGUAGAUAGCUCUUAUCAAGAUAAGACGCUGUACGGCCAAAUUACCAAUCUAGGAUUUAUUCCGGUGCCAUCCUUCAACCCCUACCUUGAAUUGUAUCACCAGCAGGAGCAGCAGUCCAGUGGGUGGUUCUAUUCAUACGAAUAUCCUAAUCUCAUUACUGUUGGAGAUCUCUUGUCCGUUAAGCAAACAACAGCGCCUGUGUGUGGUGCUGGACCAGCCACCAUGACUGCUACACGGGCAUUGGCAAGCGAAAGGAUCAAUGGCGGAACCUCAGCCAAAAAGAAUGCUUGGCCUUUUACGGUAGCCCUUAGGAAAAGUGAUGGUUCAUUAUUUUGCAGCGGAACUUUGAUUAGUGACACAAGACUACAAGAGUUACUAUUAGCGGCUCGAGUGUGUGGAGAAAAUAUCUUUGUAUGAGUUUUCUGGUGUGACCGUCUUGGUUGGGAUGUUUUUGACUGACAAAAUCGACGUCAUGACGACGAGGAGGAUCAGCAAAAUGUUUCUUCACAGGAAAUUCAACUCUGCCUCCUAUGCCAAUGAUAUCUCCAUCAUUGUCAUAGACUCUCCCGUGGUUCUUUCCAGGAGUGUUGCACCUGCUUGUUUACCACCGGCCAGUACAGACCCCGACCAGUACGUCGACCAAGAUGCGAUUCUUUUGAAAUGGGGAGAGCCUAACAAAGAUAGCAUCCCCCUUAACCUGGAACAAGCCAAGUUUUCUAUUUUGUCCAACAUUGAAUGGAAGGGGAAUCCGCUUUUUGGUAAAUUUGUUACGGACACAUAUAUCUGUAUUACGAGUGGUGUCAAAUUCACAUGCACAAAUGACGUUGGCGGUUCAGCAGUCAUCCUCCCGUCACCAGGACCAUAGUCGGAAUCAACAGCUACACCCAAAUUUUGUGACAGAUUGCAUGUCCAAUAGCCUAUUAAAAAGCAGUGUGUCUGCCUUCAGGACAUGGAUUUGACCUAUACCUGACCAUGGCUUAAAAUUUUUACUCCAAGACGACCAACGUUAAACGACAUGAGUAUGAAAUUCAAACUCGUUUUUUUUUUUCAGUUUCUCUUUUCUUUCAGAAACUUAUACCCCUUAUACUUUAAUUCGAUUUUGGCUAAUCUUAAUUUCUCGUAUGGCCAAAGCCCUGUCCUCGAUGUACAUGUCUGUAAAUAAUAAUAAUGAAAGCA